CUGCACUAAUGCAGACUUCAAGACCUGGAUGAGAGCACUUCUUGCUCAAAAAGAAAACUUUUUACUUUGGAAACAUAGUUACCUCCACUGAACAAUGUAUCUGAAAAAUAAAAGCAAAGACCAUGUUGAGAGGAAAGAAGGGUGACCUCUCUCUUUGUGGAUUCCAAAUCACU